UCAGUGAACAUCAGCACUCAACCCACAGUUAAUUUCUGUUUUUGUUUUUGGGGCCAAGUUGGGGAAACCGAAUCGUAGAAACUUCCCAAAGAAAUUUUAUGACAAAAGCUUAAAAUGAAGAUGCACCUGCCCUAUUUGCAGUUUCCUGUGCCUAACUUCCCCAAAAUUCCAAGACUCCUCAUCAACCAAAGAACGAAAGAAAUUAUAAGAAAUAUUGAAGCUAGGAAAUUCUCUAUAUUUUUAAAGUAAUUUGUGUUUACAACCGGUUAUAUCCAAUAAAUUUAUUAUGUCAAAUAAAUAA